UACGUAGGGUGCGAGCGUUGUCCGGAAUUAUUGGGCGUAAAGAGCUCGUAGGCGGUCUGUCGCGUCGGCUGUGAAAACCCGAGGCUCAACCUCGGGCCUGCAGUCGAUACGGGCAAACUAGAGUACUGCAGGGGAGACUGGAAUUCCUGGUGUAGCGGUGGAAUGCGCAGAUAUCAGGAGGAACACCGGUGGCGAAGGCGGCCCACUGGAGCGGUACUGACGCUGAGGUGCGAAAGCGUGGGGAGCAAACAGG
rnacentral:rRNA from 1 species